rnacentral:rRNA from 1 species
CCGCCUUAUCCGGCCUACAGGAAUUAUCCCGCCUACGAAGCUGGUGUUCUUGUAGAACCGACAAGAGUACAUCCCACCCAAUCGUUAACGAUGAACUAUCCUUUACACGUGCUUAUAUAAGCAGUGAGGAUUUUCAUUGGCUAUCAAACCUUUUAACUACCAGCAGGACUUUUCCAGCAUUGACUUCCGCCAGCAGCCUGAAUUGUAUCAGGUUGGACGAGGCGAGCAGGGGGUGCUACUGGUUGAACCCUACAAAAGCGAAAUUCUUCCUUUCUGGCGCUAUAAAGAUGAAGCAUCGGCGAUGAAAUCCGCAGAACAGAUCUACCAGUUGUUCGAAGCU